CCCUUAGACGUUCUGGGCCGCACGCGCGCUACACUGACGAAGGCAACGAGCUUUCCUUUACCGAAAGGUACGGGUAAUCUUUUGAAACUUCGUCGUGCUGGGGAUAGAUCCUUGCAAUUUUUGAUCUUAAACGAGGAAUGCCUAGUAAGCGCAAGUCAUCAACUUGCGUUGAUUACGUCCCUGCCCUUUGUACACACCGCCCGUCGCUACUACCGAUUGAAUGGUAUAGUGAGGCCUUCGGAUCCGCGACUCGUUUUGUGGAGAAGUUGGACAAACUCAGUCAUUUAGAGGAAGUAAAAGUCGUAACA
rnacentral:rRNA from 1 species